rnacentral:rRNA from 1 species
UCGACGAUGAAGCCCUUCGGGGUGGAUUAGUGGCGAACGGGUGAGUAACACGUGGGCAAUCUGCCCUGCACUCUGGGACAAGCCCUGGAAACGGGGUCUAAUACCGGAUAUGACUGUCCGCCGCAUGGUGGAUGGUGUAAAGCUCCGGCGGUGCAGGAUGAGCCCGCGGCCUAUCAGCUAGUUGGUGAGGUAGUGGCUCACCAAGGCGACGACGGGUAGCCGGCCUGAGAGGGCGACCGGCCACACUGGGACUGAGACACGGCCCAGACUCCUACGGGAGGCAGCAGUGGGGAAUAUUGCACAAUGGGCGAAAGCCUGAUGCAGCGACGCCGCGUGAGGGAUGACGGCCUUCGGGUUGUAAACCUCUUUCAGCAGGGAAGAAGCGAAAGUGACGGUACCUGCAGAAGAAGCGCCGGCUAACUACGUGCCAGCAGCCGCGGUAAUACGUAGGGCGCAAGCGUUGUCCGGAAUUAUUGGGCGUAAAGAGCUCGUAGGCGGCUUGUCACGUCGGUUGUGAAAGCCCGGGGCUUAACCCCGGGUCUGCAGUCGAUACGGGCAGGCUAGAGUUCGGUAGGGGAGAUCGGAAUUCCUGGUGUAGCGGUGAAAUGCGCAGAUAUCAGGAGGAACACCGGUGGCGAAGGCGGAUCUCUGGGCCGAUACUGACGCUGAGGAGCGAAAGCGUGGGAGCGAACAGGAUUAGAUACCCUGGUAGUCCACGCCGUAAACGGUGGGCACUAG